rnacentral:rRNA from 1 species
AGUAAAUAGAUACCCUGGUAGUCCCAGCUGUAAACGAUGCGCGUUAGGUGUAUCGGUGACCACGAGUUACCGAGGUGCCGAAAGGGAAAACCGUGAAACGCGCCGCCUGGGAAGUACGGUCGCAAGGCUGAAACUUAAAGGAAUUGGCGGGGAGGCACCACAACGGGUGGGAGGCCUCGCGGUUUAAGUUACGGACGUCAACGACCGGAAACGGACUCACCGGACGUAAGACAGCUGAAUAGAUAGCCGGGCCGUGAAGACUCUGCUUGUACUAGCUGAGAGGAGGUGCAUGGCCGUCGUCAGUUCGUACUGUGAAGCAUCCUGUUAAGUACAGGCAACGAGCGAGACCCA